CGGUACUUGUUAAUCCCCUCUUCACAGCAGCCAAGGGGGUUGGGCUCCCUUCGGUCGAUGGUAAGCCAAAUGGCCUGGAGCUCGUUCCAGUAGUCUUCUAGCGUGAGUUGCCCUUGACUCACCUUGUUAGCUUUCACUUCCAGAUCGUAUAUCUGAAACGGGUCCAUCCCACUCCCGUAGGUGAUGGCCAGAUUAUCCCAAACGGCCUUAGCUGUUUGGUGUUGAGCGAAGUUAAUCACCAAUCUUGUUUCCAUGUUCUGUAUUAGCCAAGAAAAAAC
rnacentral:lncRNA from 1 species